GUAAAGUCGGUCAAAAUGACAGUCACGGCCUUUCACGCCGUCGACAGGGGUUCAAAUCCCCUUGGGGACGCCA
rnacentral:tRNA from 1 species